AUUCUAUGGUGUGGACAUUCAGAAAUAUAAUCUUGGAAGCGCUCCCACACUUCAGGAACAGAUUCAUCGUGCUGUUGCUGAAAACUUGAUAUUUCCCCCCGUAAGGCA